ensembl:lncRNA
AAGGUACUUUAUAUUUUGAAGGCUUGGGUGAAAAAGAGACUUUGGAAAGAAACUUCAGAUUAAUAGAGGUCAACGAUGUGGAUUUAAAAAAAAACAACAAAAAGCAACAACAUUAACAUAGACAUCAACUUAUAAAUUAAAUAAGAACAAGCCAGUCAAGGACACUGCGUUAGGGAUUUGGUUGUUUUUUUUUCUCCUCCCUGUGUGAAAUAUUCUCCACCACUCACCCGGAUACCUGGAAACCACAGGGACACAAAGCCAGCCAAUCAGCCCUCAUGGGAACUAGAGCCCUGGCCUCUGAUUGGUCAUGUGUGCCCCCUAAGCUCAUUAUUAUAUCAGCGUGUCCUUCACUGUGUUGUCUGGCUACUAUCAGGCCAACGACGUGCCAGCGCUCUCCCCCACAAACAACAUUUUAUUGGAGGAGAAACAGACAGAAAGUGGAUUACUGACAACCAGAAAAUAAGGAUAAAAAAAUACUUAAGUUGUAGAGAUGAGAGAAGAAAUCCAUCUAAUGAUAAUAACACACACAAAAACACGGACCUGGAAAAAGCAUUAAUCAGCAUUUAUCCAUAUGCAAAACAUUCAAGUUCGAAUGUAUAUUUGACAUGCAAAUAUCUGUACAACGUCCGUGUUCACAAACACUGACAACAUGCACGCUCACUGUGAGGACCUUCCACUGGCAAAUCCACUCAUUGUAGCUAAAUAAUACUUUGCCUACAACUAAAUACAACAACCUCAGUAACUAAAAUAUUUUGACACUUAAAUUUUUAAAUAAAAGCUGUAAAAACAAAACAAAAACAAAGAAAAAACUGUUUUUCCUCAUGGGGACCAGCCAAAUGUCCCCAUAAGGCCAAAGCACACACACACACACACACCUGUUGUGGUUGUCUUGAAUAAAGGAACACACACAGACGCUUUCAUCCUUUGCCGUCUCUAAAGUAAAUGAGCUACAGUAAUUGUUUCAUUAUGACUGUCUAUUGAAAUCGUUUCCCUUUUCUCUCCUCCUCCCUUUGUUCUUCACAUCCGGGCUCCUCAUUUCCUUGUUUUUCUCCUGUCAUGUGCUGUUUUUUACUACUAACCUGGUCACCACCUACUAGACCUCCAACACACUCUCACAUGUCUGUAAGGUAAAUAAAACUCAGCAUGACAGUGUUUGUAUUUUUAACAACUUCUUAAGUAAUACAACUUAACUCGCUCUCAGAUCAGUUCUUUCCUCCAUUACUCGAUAUCCACAUCGGGUCAUUCUUUUCUAUAUUUACAGUUCGGACAAUAACAGCAAUCAUGGAAGAGAACAGCCUUCACAUGCAUCAAAGUUGCUAGACCUUUCGGUUCUGGCUAUGAAAAACCACAACACAAGCAGAAGAAGACAUUUUAACAUGACUAGUUCCCAACCCUGGUGCUGGAGCACAGUUAAGUGUUCCCCCUGGUGCUGGAGCACAGUUAAGUGUUCCCCCUGGUCCUGGAGCACAGUUAAGUGUUCUCCCAGGUGCUGGAGCACAGUUAAGUGUUCUCCCAGGUGCUGGAGCACAGUUAAGUGUUCUCCCAGGUGCUGGAGCACAGUUAAGUGUUCUCCCAGGUGCUGGAGCACAGUUAAGUGUUCUCCCAGGUGCUGGAGCACAGUUAAGUGUCCUCCCUGGUGCUGGAGCACAGUUAAGUGUUCUCCCCGCUCGAACACACCUCGACUGUCUCAGCAAGGCCCGAUUAACCAGAUGAUUAGCUGAGUAAGGUGUGAUAAACCAGGAGUAAUACAAACAAACGUGCAUGCGGUUUAUCCCAGCCACGUCGCCUUCAGAACUGAAGGACUUAAACAACAGCCUGCAUGUCAAGAAUCAUUCUUUUCUACUAACCCUGAAAUCAACAAGCGCACAGGCAUGACAGCCGUGUAGCAGAUGUUCAGCACAUGCUCUGGUCAGCAGGAAGAGGAGUGUUAUUCGUAGUACCAGCAGAGAGAGGAGAUUCCACGCACUGGCUAUAUGGCGAAUAUAUUUCAUGAGAUUUGACAUUUACACAAUACAUCAUGAUAUUUAAGAUUGCUAAAAAAUACUAAACGUCGUAGCAUUUAAAGUAUUAUAAUAAAACAACAGCAGAUUUCCAACAAACCUGUCUUGUAUUUAUUUC